rnacentral:rRNA from 1 species
GAUGAACGCUGGCGGCGUGCCUGAUACAUGCAAGUCGAGCGAAUGGAUAAGAGCUUGCUCUUAUGAAGUUAGCGGCGGACGGGUGAGUAACACGUGGGUAACCUGCCCAUAAGACUGGGAUAACUCCGGGAAACCGGGGCUAAUACCGGAUAACAUUUUGAACCGCAUGGUUCGAAAUUGAAAGGCGGCUUCGGCUGUCACUUAUGGAUGGACCCGCGUCGCAUUAGCUAGUUGGUGAGGUAACGGCUCACCAAGGCAACGAUGCAUAGCCGACCUGAGAGGGUGAUCGGCCACACUGGGACUGAGUCACGGCCCAGACUCCUACGGGAGGCAGCAGUAGGGAAUCUUCCGAAAUGGACGAAAGUCUGACGGAGCAACGCCGCGUGAGUGAUGAAGGCUUUCGGGUCGUAAAACUCUGUUGUUAGGGAAGAACAAGUGCUAGUUGAAUAAGCUGGCACCUUGACGGUACCUAACCAGAAAGCCACGGCUAACUACGUGCCAGCCGCCGCCGUAA